rnacentral:rRNA from 1 species
UACGGAGGGGGCUAGCGUUGUUCGGAAUUACUGGGCGUAAAGCGCACGUAGGCGGAUUGGAAAGUUGGGGGUGAAGUCCCAGGGCUCAACCCUGGAACUGCCUUCAAAACUCCCAGUCUGGAGGUCGAGAGAGGUGAGUGGAAUUCCGAGUGUAGAGGUGAAAUUCGUAGAUAUUCGGAGGAACACCAGUGGCGAAGGCGGCUCACUGGCUCGAUACUGACGCUGAGGUGCGAAAGCGUGGGGAGCAAACAGG